UGUCCCCAGUUUUCAGAUUCUCAUCUUUCUUCGCUUGAAUUCCAGUAUUCAUCUUUAUCCUUCCACUGCAACCCGUCCCCAGUCCCCAGUUUUCAGAUCCUCAUCUUUUCUUUGCUAGAAUUCCAGUAUUCAUCUUUACCUCUCCCACUGCAACCCGUCUCCAGUCCCCAGUUUUCAGAUCCUCAUCUUUUCUUUGCUUGAAUUCCCACUCUUGUUUCUAUGGAGUUUGUGAGUUCAAUCCUGGAAAUCGUCAACCGCUUAUGGGAUUGCUGUGAUAAGCGUGCUGUUUACAUCCGUCAACUCCCGGAAAAUCUCAAGUCUUUGAGAGAAAAAAUGAAGGAACUCAAUAAUGAGUAUAAAGAUGUGAAGGAAAGGGUGGAAAAAGCACAGAAACUUCAGAAGGAGAUUAAACAUGUAGUGGCUGGCUGGAUCCACGACGUAGAAUCCAUGGAAGGAGAAGUGAACGAAAUGUUGACAAAAGGAGAAGAAGAAAUCAAGAAGAGAUGUCUCGGAACCUGUUGCCCCAGAAACUGUCUCGCCAGCUACGAGCUUGGAAAGAUGGUACCUGAAAAGAUUAAUGCUGUGUCUCAAUUGUGCAGUAAGGCAGAGAGUUUCCAAGAGGUGGCUGCCCCUUCGCCUACACUUCGAGUGAUCGAGCUGCCUUUGGCCGAAACGGUGGGGUUGGAUUCCUUGUCUGAGAAGGUAUGGAGAUGCCUGCAAGAUGACAAGGUGAGAACUAUUGGAUUAUACGGGAUGGGGGGUGUGGGGAAAACAACCCUCUUGAGAAGAAUCAAUAAUGAAUUCCUCAAAACCAGCUUUGAAUUUGAUAAAGUGAUUUAUGUUGUUGUGUCUAAACCGGCAAGUGUGGAAAAAAUCCAAGAAAUGGUUCUUUGUCAGUGUGACAUUCCUGAUAACAGAUGGAAAAGUGGGGCUAGGGGUGGAAAGCAAGAGGAAAUAUACAAUUUCUUUAAAACAAGGAAAUUUAUACUCUUGUUAGAUGAUAUAUGGGAGAAGCAAAAUCUCUUGGAUAUCGGGUUUCCUCCUCUGAAUGAUCAAAAUAAGUCCAAAGUAAUAUUUACAACGCGAUUUUUUGAUGUGUGCGAAGCUAUGGGAGCUGAGAAAAUUGAAGUGAAGUGCAUGAAACCCGAGGACGCCUAUGCUUUGUUUCGAACCAAUGUGGGAGAAUCAAUCAUAAAUUCUCAUCCAAGGAUACGCAAGCUCGCAAAUAGUGUUGUUAAAGAAUGUAAAGGCGUGCCACUUGCCCUCAUGAUUGCUGGAGGAGCAAUGAAAGGAAAGACGACUCCCCAAGAAUGGGAGAAAAAGCUAAAACUGUUGCAGACCUAUCCAUCAGAAUUCCCAGCUAUGGAGAAAGAUUUAUUUCGAGUUUUAGCAUUGAGUUAUGACAACUUAAGCACAGCCAACGUCAAAUCAUGUUUCAUAUAUUGCUCCAUGUUCCCGGAAGAUUGGGAAAUUCCUUACAAGCAGCUUAUAGAACUAUGGAUUGGGGAGGGGUUUCUCGAUGAAUGGCAUCACAUAGAUGAUGCACGUGCUAAAGGAGAGGAAAUUAUUGAACAAUUAAAGCUUGCAUGUCUGUUGGAGGGUGGCCAAUCUGAAAAGCAUGUAAAAAUGCAUGAUGUGAUUCGGUACAUAGCUUUGUGGUUGGCUCAUGAAAAUGGGAAGAAGAAGAACAAAUGCGUGAUAAAAGAGCCUGGCAGAUGGAUUGAAGGUCACGAAAUUGCAGAGUGGAAGGAGACCCAAAGAAUGUCGUUGUGGGAUAAUAGUAUUGAAGAUUCCACUGAACCACCGGAUUUUCGAAAUCUCGAGACUUUGAUUGCAUCAGGUGAGUCGAUGAAGUCAUUUCCAAGCCAAUUCUUCACACACAUGUCUGUCAUAAGAGUUCUGGACUUGUCAAAUUCUGAAUUGAUGGUGUUACCUGCAGAGAUUGGUAACCUAAAAACUCUGCAUUAUCUUAAUUUGUCAAAAACAGAAAUAGAGAGUCUCCCAAUGAAGCUCAAAAAUUUGACAAAACUAAGGUGCUUGAUAUUGGAUGAUAUGGAAAAACUUGAAACAAUUCCAGCUCAAUUGAUAUCAAGCCUUUCAUCUUUGCAGUUGUUCAGUCUUUAUGCUUCCAUAGGUUGGAAUGGAGACGGGGGAUUCCUCUUAGAGGAGCUAGCGUCCUUGAAACAUGUGAGUGACAUAUCUAUCCCUCUAAAAAGUGUCCUUCACACCCAAAUGUCAGUCGACUCCCACAAGUUAGGAAGGAGCAUAAGAAGGCUAAGCCUACAAGACUGCACUGGUAUGACUAAAUUGGAACUUUCCCCUUACCUUCAGAUUCUUCAAAUAUGGAGAUGCUUUGAUUUGGCAGAUGUGAAAAUCAAUCUGGUAAAGGGAAGGGGACAAGAAUUCUCCAAACUUUCCGAAGUGGAGAUAAUUAUGUGUCCAAAAUUGCUGCACUUGACAUGUCUUGCUUUUGCUCCAAACCUUUUGUCUCUCCGUGUGGAAUACUGCGAGUCAAUGCAAGAAGUGAUGACAGAAGAUGAAGAGAUUGGAAUUUCAGAAGUUGAACAAUGUUCAGAUGCAUUCUCAGUACUCACAACUCUCAGUUUAUCUUAUUUAUCAAAUCUAAGGAGUAUAUGUGGAGGAGCUCUGUCAUUUCCUUCCCUAAGAGAGAUCACUGUGAAACACUGUCCAAGGCUAAGGAAGCUGACAUUUGAUUCCAACACCAACUGUUUGCGUAAAAUCGAGGGAGAACAACACUGGUGGGAUGGGUUGGAUUGGGAAGAUCAAACCAUUAAGCAGAAACUCACUCAAUAUUUUGUGCCUAAAUGAAGGUGAUGAUAUAUUGGGGGCGCCUCACCCAGUUCGUCUCUUUUUCCUUUCAUCCCCUGGUUUUUUUUUUCUUUCCCUAAGAAAAUGGUUCAGAAAACCGUUUCAAGAAUCUCAAAUUAUGGACGUGGAACAUGAAUUAUGGAGUGGCUUGUUUUGGUCAUGUAUUGCUUAUCCAAAAUUGUAGACUACAUAUAUGUCUCUUAUUGACCUUGUUGUGCUUUCCAUGUAAAUUUUUAUUUUUUUUGUUUCAUUUGUAACUUUAAGGUGAAUGACAAGUGGUAUCAUAUUAAGAUUGUGCUUGCUAAUGUAUGUAUUCCA